AGCGAACGUUAGCGGCGGGCCUAACACAUGCAAGUCGAACGCGAAAGGUCUUCGGACUGAUUAGAGUGGCGCACGGGUGAGUAACACGUAGGUAAUCUACCCUUUGGCGGGGGAUAACGUUCCGAAAGGAGCGCUAAUACCGCAUAAGACCACGGAGUCUCCGGACGCUGUGGGAAAAGGUGGCCUCUUCUUGAAAGCUAUCACCGGAGGAUGAGCCUGCGUCCCAUCAGCUAGUUGGUAAGGUAAUGGCUUACCAAGGCAAAGACGGGUAGCUGGUUUGAGAGAAUGAUCAGCCACACUGGCACUGGAACACGGGCCAGACUCCUACGGGAGGCAGCAAUGAGGAAUAUUGGGCAAUGGGCGAAAGCCUGACCCAGCCACGCCGCGUGAGUGAUGAAGGCCCUCGGGUCGUAAAGCUCUGUGGAGAGGGACGAAAAACCUGGGGUCUAAUAGGCCCCGGACUUGACGGUACCUCUUUAGCAAGCACCGGCUAACUCUGUGCCAGCAGCC
rnacentral:rRNA from 1 species